rnacentral:misc_RNA from 1 species
UCUCGGCUUAUCACCGGCAGUCCCCCUAGAGUGCCCAACUGAAUGAUGGCAACUAAGGACAAGGGUUGCGCUCGUUGCGGGACUUAACCCAACAUGUCACCACACGAGCUGACGACAGCCAUGCAGCACCUGUCUUCUCGUCGUAUUGCUACGAACUCCCUAUCUCUAGGGAUAGCGAGAGAUGUCAAACCCAGGUAAGGUUCUUCGCGUUGCUUCGAAUUAAACCACAUGAUCCACCGCUUGUGCGGGCCCCCGUCAAUUCCUUUGAGUUUUAGUCUUGCGACCGUACUUCCCAGGCGGGGUACUUAGUGCGUUAGCGCCGACUCAGCGGGGGUCAAAUCCCACCAAGUCUAGUACCCAUCGUUUACAGCGUGGACUAC